CUCCUCUCAGGGUUGCACCUGGAGAGUUUCCAGUACUCUACCAGUCUCAAAUCUGGGAGGAAGAGUCAAACAGAGGCAUAUCCAUUCCAUUCCUAGCUGUCUGGACAGUGGCUAGCGAGUGGAAGGCAAUGUGCUACAAGU